rnacentral:rRNA from 1 species
CGGAUCGUAAAACUCUGUUGUUAGGGAAGAACAAGUACCGUUCGAAUAGGGCGGUACCUUGACGGUACCUAACCAGAAAGCCACGGCUAACUACGUGCCAGCAGCCGCGGUAAUACGUAGGUGGCAAGCGUUGUCCGGAAUUAUUGGGCGUAAAGCGCGCGCAGGCGGUUUCUUAAGUCUGAUGUGAAAGCCCCCGGCUCAACCGGGGAGGGUCAUUGGAAACUGGGGAACUUGAGUGCAGAAGAGGAGAGUGGAAUUCCACGUGUAGCGGUGAAAUGCGUAGAGAUGUGGAGGAACACCAGGGGCGAAGGCGACUCUCUGGCCUGUAACUGACGCUGAGGC